rnacentral:siRNA from 1 species
UAUUCGCUAGUGCCCAUUU